CCUCCUAAGAGACACGUUAAGCUGACUCUGUGUCUCUGUCAUUCAUCUUCACUCCCCAGGUCAGAGAGAACAAAGCAGCAGCUCUAGGUCCCGGAAUAAGGCUGGCCGAGUGGGUCAGCUACAGGUGGUGCCCCAGCAUGGGGCUCGGGACCUGGGCUUGCCUACAUAUGGGUGUUUUCUCCCUCCCCACAGAUCCAAGGGGAAGAAUGGGGCAGGUCUGGGUCCUGUUUAGGAAGGGUGGUCUGUAGCCAGAAGAAGACAGGAGAGGUGCUGGAGAAGCAACACAUGUGGCCCCCUUGGUCCUAGAGAGAGGAGGGGGUGCUGUUUCUCCUCACAGUCACAUCUCAGGACAGUGAACCAGGUGGUGCAGUCCUUGCCCCUGCAGAGCUCACCUUCCAGAGAAGAUCCUAGACAGAUAAAUAGGCACACGCAGCAGCGUCACUUAGCAUCUGGGUGGGCAGGGGAACAGCCCACCCACCCUGGGGCUGUAAAGGCAAGGGAGGUGCUAAUUAGGUGGGGUGGCAGAGAAAGCUGCUAGGAGGGUGCAAAAUGUGCAGAAAGUACAGUGCACUCAGGGUUAACCACAGCAUUUCUGGAAGAAAAGAAUACAAGCAGAGGAAAGAGCAAGUUCAAAGGCCCUGUGGUGAGAAUGCUCAGUGUGGCCAGAGUGGAACGACACAGAGGGAGGAGAGGAGAUCUGAUAGCUAUGCAAGGCCCAGAUCCUGGGCUCAGGUUGUAUCUAGGCCUUGGCAAGGAGUCUAGAUUUGCUUUAGAGGGAGAAGAAACUGAUGGGGUUUUUCUGAACAGGAGAAUGCCAUGAUCCUAUUUGCAUUUACAAAGAACACUCCCAUGACUCCAUAGUGAUUUUUUAAAUAGAUACAUCCCAUCUGUACUCCAGCCUCAUCAGUAUGUUUCUUAAAUCAGUUAACUUUACUCAAGUAACAUUCUUAAGGAAAUUUGAUGUUCCACCUCUGCAAAUGAAAAAUCAGUAUUGUCUGCCAUAAAUAGAAGAAAACCCGUAAAAACAAAUACAACCAAAACAAAGAAGUGUUAUUACUUUUUCACCAAAGACUCCUAACGAUGAUGAACCUGAGCCUGGAGCCCCCUCUGUCUGAAGGAAAGUUAGUAAGCACUGGAGAACCUAAAGUCAACUAGCACCCACCUGAGACUCUCUCCACGGGGCGCUGGAGUAUCUGAAAGAAACUUGGUGCGGAAAUACGUCUCCCACAGUAGGAUACCCCAGUCCUUCAUGCUGGUUCCAGUAGCCACAAAUCAUCUCAUAGCCUUCAUGGGCACCCUGACUAGUCUUUGGGGAAAACAUCAUAAGGGAAUAUAUUUUCAAUUUGAUAUUUCAGCUGUGCUGUCCUCUACAUGGGAUUUCUUCUCAGGGAGGCUCAUCCCCUGAGCUGGACAGCUCCCAGCUGACUGCCUCCCUGCUCAGUGGCAGCAGCAGAAAGACAGGUGCCCACAACACCAGCCCCAAAGUCCGAGGUUGCUCACCAUUGACUGCCUUGAGUCACGUGCCCUUUGCUGGACCAAUCACAGUGGCCAGAAAUGGAAUAUGGGGUCAUCAAGGCCCAGACACAGAGGUGUGGGGGCUCCCAAUAUGCCACUCUCAGGAGACAUAGGCUGCUAGAAACAACAGAUGACCCCUGUACUAGGGAACAGUUAAAAGAAAAUACUGGGCUGGGGAUUUAGCUCAGUGGUUUUGCCACCUGCUGCUGCAUAAGCACAAGGACCCGAGUUCAAUCCCUGGUAUCAAAAAAAAAAAAUACUAAUGCUCUUUGACAUUCUGAAAUCAAAGAUUUGAAAUCCAAACUCAUAAGUGACAGUUCAUUUUAAGUCAACUUGGCAAGGCCGUGGUGCCCAGAGAUGAGGUCAAAUAUUAUUUAGAAGUUUCUAUAAGGGUGUUUGGGGAUGAGAUUAACAUUUAAAUCAGUGGACUUUAAGGAAAGCAGAUUGCCCUCCAUAAUGUGGGGGGCCACAUCCAAUCAGGUGAAGGCCUGCAUAGAAGAAAACACUGACCUCCUGCAAGCAAAAAGAAUUCUUCAGCAGAUGUCUCAGACUUAAACAGCAGCACCAGCUCCUUCCAGGGUCUCCAGCCUGCUGCUCUACCCUGCGGGUGCUGGACUUGCCAGCCCCCAUAGCCACAGGAGCCAAUUGCUGAAGAUAAACUUCUUUCCGUAUAUGAACCAUAGGUGUUGAAAAACUUUACCCUCUGAAGGUUUGAUAAUUGGGUCUAUGAAGUAUACUGACAAUGGACAGACUAAUGGGAGAAAAGUUAUACAAAUUCCUUACCCACACAGGGGCAUCACAGGAAAGAGAAGUGACCAGUCCCAGCCCAGGGUGAUCCGGAAUCAUAUAUACCUGCUUCAGUGGGGAGGGGGAAGGGGAAGGCUAACUGGCCAUUGGGUGCCAGCCGGGGGUAAAGUAUCUGGGCACAGAGUGACCUUGGGUACACCUGCUGUGAUGGAAGGUCCACCUUUCUCUGGCUGACCAGGGCCCUGGCAGGGGAUUCUUGAUUAUUGGUUGGUUCCCUUUGUAGGAUCCAACUUUAGGCAGAUAAGGGAAGCUUGGCCCGAGCCCUCUCUGUGCUUGCUGUCCCCAGGUGUCCUCUCUCUGAAAUACUCCACACACUCAAGGGCAUGUUUUUGGUGGCAUCUUUUGAACUCCUCAGCACAUGUUCUGUUGAGUGUGUCUUCUGGGAGCCCUGACUCACACCACACACUCACUGUACUUGAAUAAAGGUUACUUCCAAAGCCCCUCACCUCUGGACUGUAACCAACUUGGUGACAAACUUAGUCCAUCUCCAUAUGCUGGCAUUUCCCACGUGGAAAAGGCCAUUUGACAGAUGGAAGCUGCGGUCCCACCCCCAACUCCCAUUUCCUCUCUCUCUUUAAUGUUGAUUUUAUGCUCAUUUUAGAGACCCAGUCAAAAAGAUGGAUACAAGGCCAAAUCAGUGACAAAUGAAAAAGGGAUUUAGACACCUUGAGCUUUUGUGUUGUGUGGUGUGUGUGUGUGAGAGAGAGAGAGAGAUUAGUACUAUCCUUUGAAGGAAGGAAGGAGGAAGCUGAAUUCCUGACAGGGCUGGGAGGAGAUGGUGCCUGAACAGACUCUUGCAGUGGACCUCCACCUAGCCCUGUCUCCUAGGAUGAGGGUCCUCCAGUUUUCCUCCAGGGAUUGAAUUCACCUGACCCCACUGAUGGCCCAAUAUGAGCUCUUCCUGCUGCCAUCUGCUGCCCAGGGCCCAGGAUACCCUGUUCCUGCCCCUCCAAUGCCUCCUGCUCCCCAGACCUUCUGGUCGUUCUGCAUUUCUGUGCUCCAGGGUCUAACGUGGAUUCUGUGCCCUGUGACCUCAAAACCCAACAUAACUGAAGAAUGAAAAAAUCUUUAAAAUCACAAGGAAGGCGGCGGCAGAGGUGAUGGCGGCGGCAGAGGUGAUGGCGGCAGCAGCACCACCUGAGAACAGAGCUGGGCCCGGGCAUGGUGGCGCGUUCUGCACUGUGAGAGCGCAGCGGCCGCUGGAUCGCCAUGCGCCAGCGGCUCCAAAGCUCGGGCCUUUGGCCCUUCGCCUCGGCGACGGGAGGCAGCGUCCCGGAGACGAGACUGCGGGCGCUGAGCAAGCCUUGGUACUCCCCUCGCUCCACGUUCUGUGAGGAGGAUGGGGAUCUGGCUCAUGAGUUCUAUGAGGAGACAGUCGUCACCAUGAACGGCCAGAAGCGGGCCAAGCUGAGGCAGGUGUAUAAGGCUCUGAUUCCUUAGGGCAUCGUGAGGCUGGAUCUCCCCCGCAGCCACGUGGAUUUCCCUGUGAUCCUCUAUGAGCUGUGAGCCUGGUGGGUGAAGACACAAGCACCCCCUCUGACCCAGCAAGAAACUUCCUGUCACAAGGUGUAGCUUCCAUUGAGCACCCCAGGCUGGGGCCACAGCCCUUCGUGAACUCUGUUGGCCCAGAACCUUCAGCUGUAAGCAGGGCAGCCCUCGGUAUAAAUCGGGUAUUGGUUUGUGUGUGGACAAGAGAGGUUUGGUGUCUGGCAAAGGCUAACGGGAGAGUUACCAGCAGAGCUUUCCCAGCCACAGGGCAUCUGCCAGUCAGGAAUGUGUGGUUCCUGGUUCCUUGCCUGGCUGGUCUGCUUUCUUCCAAGCUUGCCUAGGGCCCAGCCUCACUAAAAGCUACAGCACUUUCCAUGCAAAAUCUGCCUUCUUCCAGCCCCUGGACUUUGGGAGCUCUACACAAGUGGGAACUUCCUUUCCCUCACUUCCUUUACCCCCUAGUCAGAGCAUUUCAGCCAUUUCUACCUCUAUACUUCCUGAUUGGACAGAGGCUGAGGACAGCACCCACCUGAUGCUUCCCACCUACCUGCCAUUUGUUCCCACUUUCACAUGGACAGUUUGCUGGCUGUUAACUGGAAUGAGGACUGGUAUGGGUAGCUUCUCCUUUUCCCAGGGCUUGGCUAAUUGCUCCCCAGUGCAACUAGUUAUUGCCCUCUCCUCAGUUAAGAGGUACAGGCCAGAGUCAGAACAGGCUAUGGGCGUCUGUGCCUAUGGGAAGUUGCCCCAAGCCUAUUCUAACCGCCUCCCCCCUUGCCUUUGCACCAGCCAUUCCCCCUACUAUCCAGUUGGGAGGGUCCACUACCCUGUGAUGAAGACCAACAUACUAGGGCUGGUGCCUGUAGCGCUAUGAGGAGACCACCACUCUUCUGCCACAAUAUCUUCACCCCUUCUGGAUCAGUCAAGGGAAAGUACUAGGGCCCCUUGAAAAGCACAGAAAGGAGGGCAAAAACAUAAAAGGGAAUACUGUACUUAAAGUGUGAAGAUUUGUAAAUAGUCUAGUCCAUGCUGAUGUUAGGGCAGAGUCUGAUUUCUACACAGAAAUGACUUUCUUUUUCUUUUAAUUUCUUAUUGUGCAAGUUCUAUGCUUCUAGCAUGGGACAUGGCUUGGGGAUGAUGCUCCCCAGUAUAGGAAGAUUGUUGUGCUAUUUGUUCGAUUUCAAUAAAAUUAUUUGUAGAUCCUGUAAAAAAAUAAAAUCAGAAGGAAAAAAAUUGUUUAAAGUUGCCAUGGCUACCAAGUGAAAAGUGCAACAUUCUGUAGCAAAUUCUGCAAACUGUAAGAUUUCAUUAUUAAAUACUUUGUUUUCAAUAAAAAACUGAUGUUAAUGUUUAUAAAAUAAUUGAAGAAAUGUUCAAAGUGCUCAUUGUCACUCCUUGUGUUUGAGAAAGAAGUACAGCAGUGAAAUUGUUUUGGAAAAUAUAAAAGUUGUUGGUGAUUUGGUUUUAAGUUGUUAUCUCUUACAUCUUCACGUCACUCAGUAAGCUUUUCUGCUCUCUGUCAACCUUAAAAUGCAUAAACAUCACAAAUAUGAGAAAUAUAUAUCUUAUUUUGAAUAAAAAUUAGUAUUGCAAAAAUUAGUGUUGGGCAUUUUU